rnacentral:lncRNA from 1 species
CCUUGUUUUUAUUGUGUGUGCCACCCAAGCCUUGUAACCCUAGGUAUAUAUGUUAAUUUUUCACAAAUAAUUAACCUUGAAUCCUCCACCUCAUUUCCCUAGUCGUUCAUCUCCUCCUCUCCCUCUCAUUGAUUUUAUUUUUUUAUUUUCCUCCAUUAAUGCCGUCGCCUACACCUCCCAUUUUACAAUCUCUUUCUUUUUCUUUUUUGCCUCAAGAUUGUGC